rnacentral:rRNA from 1 species
UAAUCCCCCGGGGAAACUAGCAUAUCAAUAAGCGGAGGAAAAGAAACCAACAGGGAUUGCCCUAGUAACGGCGAGUGAAGCGGCAACAGCUCAAAUUUGAAAUCUGGCUCUUUUAGAGUCCGAGUUGUAAUUUGCAGAGGGCGCUUUGGCUUUGGCAGCGGUCCAAGUUCCUUGGAACAGGACGUCACAGAGGGUGAGAAUCCCGUACGUGGUCGCUGGCUAUUGCCGUGUAAAGCCCCUUCGACGAGUCGAGUUGUUUGGGAAUGCAGCUCUAAAUGGGAGGUACAUUUCUUCUAAAGCUAAAUAUUGGCCAGAGACCGAUAGCGCACAAGUAGAGUGAUCGAAAGAUGAAAAGCACUUUGGAAAGAGAGUCAAACAGCACGUGAAAUUGUUGAAAGGGAAGCGCUUGCAGCCAGACUUGCUUACAGUUGCUCAUCCGGGUUUCUACCCGGUGCACUCUUCUGUAGGCAGGCCAGCAUCAGUUUGGGCGGUAGGAUAAAGGUCUCUGUCACGUACCUCCUUUCGGGGAGGCCUUAUAGGGGAGACGACAUACUACCAGCCUGGACUGAGGUCCGCGCAUCUGCUAGGAUGCUGGCGUAAUGGCUGUAAGCGGCCCGUCUUGAAACACGGACCAAGGAGUCUAACAUCUAUGCGAGUGUUUGGGUGUCAAGCCCGAGCGCGUAAUGAAAGUGAACGGAGGUGGGAACCCGCAAGGGUGCACCAUCGACCGAUCCUGAUGUCUUCGGAAGGAUUUGAGUAAGAGCAUGGCUGUUGGGACCCGAAAGAUGGUGAACUAUGCUUGAAUAGGGUGAAGCCAGAGGAAACUCUGGUGGAGGCUCGCAGCGGUUCUGACGUGCAAAUCGAUCGUCAAAUUUGGGCAUAGGGGCGAAAGACUAAUCGAACUAUCUAGUAGCUGGUUCCUGCCGAUUCCCCCUCUCACGAGAAAA